CGAGCGCAACCCUCGCUGUGUGUUAUAUGUGUCACACGGGACGUGCCGGUCUUAAGCCGGAGGAAGGUGGGGAUGAUGUCAAGUCAGCAUGGCCUUUAUAUCCUGGGCUACACACACGCUACAAUGGCCAACACAAUAGGUUGCUAAGCCGCGAGGUGGCGCCAAUCCAUAAAGUUGGUCUCAGUUCAGAUUGUAGGCUGCAACCCGCCUGCAUGAAGAUGGAGUUGCUAGUAACCGCAGGUCAGCUAUACUGCGGUGAAUACGUUCCCGGGCCUU
rnacentral:rRNA from 1 species